GUAAUAAUAGCUCAACACAGAGCAUUGGUCUUGUAAGCCAAAGGCUGAAGAUUUAUCUUCUUAUUACU
rnacentral:tRNA from 1 species